UGGGUUUUAGAGUUCUCUGAUGAUGAUUCCUUGAUGUUCUCCCUUAACAGAAAUACCCAGAAAACCCAGGUAUGAAGGAACAAGAUGAUUUAGCUCAUAGAAAAGUGUAUGUUGCUCAAAAGGGGCUUGUCAAGUAUCUUCAGUGGUUACAGGGGUAUAUGGAUUGCAGUGGAGGAACUGGUGAUUGAUGUUGGCUAGAAAUGGGGAAGAUGCAAGCGCAAUGGCUAUGAAUUCAUAGCAAUUCAACUGGUCUGGUCACUUCUCCCUGCCUUUUCUGUUGUAUGUUUUGAUCAAUUAAUAGUCAUUUUACCACAGUUCUUUGAGACUCGUCAAUUCAGAUUAACAGGUUCCUGGUGAUGAACUAAAAUGGGUCAAAAUCUGCACAGAUGAUGGCCUUGUCGCAGUUGCCUCUUUAAAGAAUUGGACAACCAAACUCAUGCCAAGCGUUUGAUUGGUAGGAGCUUCUGUGACACCGCUGUCCAAGGUGGUAUCAAGAACUGGCCAUUCAAUGUUCUAUCUGGUCCAGCUGACAAUCCCAUGAUUGAGGUCUCAUACAAGGGAGAAGAGAAGCAGUUCGCCGCUAAGGAAAUCUCAUCCAUGGACUUGAUUAAGAUGCAUGAGAUUGUUGAGGCAUACCUUGGUUCUAUAGUUAAGAACUUUGUCGUUACAAUCCCUGCAUACUUCAACGAAUCUCAGCGUCAAGCUAUAAAGGAUGCUAGGUCGUUGCUGGUCUUAAUGUUAUGGGUAUCAUCAAUGAGCCUACGGCUGCUGCCAUUGCCUGACGAUGGAUUAUGAUUUUCUUAUUUUGAUGGAGUUGAUAGUGGUGUCAUUGUGCCAUCUGAGAUUGUACACUCAAUUGACAUUCAUCCUUCGCGAAAGCAUGCCUGCGGCACAAAUACUGAAGAAAAUGUUUAU